AGAACCCUAAGAGCAGGGCUGAUCCCUGAGAGCAAGUAUUUAUUGAACAUCUACUAUUACCUGGCCAUGGGUUAAGCUUAUGUUCACUUUUUCAUCGCGCAAUAAAUGGCUGUAGAAAGAAAGAACUAGAAAAGGGAGGAAAAGAGGAGAGCACUCAAGGGGAAAAUAAAUAGAAAUGGAAGAAAUAGAAAGGAACUUGCUCAAAAGUGGCUUGGCAGUCUGAAGAACAGCUGGAUUUAAUUCAGCUUUCCCAAGAAAAGACAGGGAAGAUUUGGAACUAACCCACUUGUUUGUCCAGAUUAAUUCAGCUUUCAUACAUUCAUUCAUUCAUCAACCAGCCUCUACCAGUGGCCACCGUAUACCAGGCAGGCAAUGUGCUAGGCCCUGGGGAAGCUGGUCCUCACUCCCAUUCUGGGCCUCUUCUCUGCCUCUUGCCCUACCCUAUCCCCCUCAUUUUGACACAAUAACUCUUCACCGAGGGGAACGUGUGCAGUUGUAUUCCACAUCUUCCAAUUGUUA
rnacentral:lncRNA from 1 species